GAGUGAGCCCCAGAGAAGAUGGAGCUGUGGUCCCCCUCUCCCUCAGUCACACUUGGCCCAGGGGUUGGUGGAGGCAGAGACAUCCACCAUGGCUCUCCACCUUGAGUUCUCCAGAGAACUCCAGACACAGUUCAGAAGCGGCCUCCUAUGGCCUAGCAGAAGUUGUCUGUGAGAAGUAAUCCUGAAAUCACUGUGACUGAAAUGGUCAAGAAGUUUGAAACUGAAGAGGACCAAUACAAGCUGCUUGUGGUGGGUCAUCGUCUUGGGCCGCCUGCCGUCGUUGACAGAGAGGAGUCCAAUCUUCCACUCUAUGAAAAUGUUUUGGUUACGCG